AGUGAACGCUGGCGGUAGGCCUAACACAUGCAAGUCGAACGGCAGCACAGUAAGAGCUUGCUCUUACGGGUGGCGAGUGGCGGACGGGUGAGGAAUACAUCGGAAUCUACUUUUUCGUGGGGGAUAACGUAGGGAAACUUACGCUAAUACCGCAUACGACCUACGGGUGAAAGCAGGGGAUCUUCGGACCUUGCGCGAUUGAAUGAGCCGAUGUCGGAUUAGCUAGUUGGCGGGGUAAAGGCCCACCAAGGCGACGAUCCUUGGCUGGUCUGAGAGGAGGACACGCACAUGUGGAAGUAACAAACGGUCCAGACACCUACGGAGGGCAGAAGUGGGAAUUGUGGGCAAAUGGCGCAAGCCUGAUCCAGCCAUACCGCGUGGGUGGAGAAGGCCUUCGGGUUGUAAAGCCCUUUUGUUGGGAAAGAAAAGCAGCAGGUUAAUACCCCGCUGUUCUGACGGUACCCAAAGAAUAAGCACCGGCUAACUUCGUG
rnacentral:rRNA from 1 species